ensembl:misc_RNA Y_RNA Y RNA
GGUUGGUCCAGUGAUAGUGGGUUAUCACAACUUACAACAUUUAGUGUCACUAAAGUUGGUAUAAAACUCUCCACUGCUAAAUUUAAAUGGUUUACA